GGGUCAGUAGGUUGGUCGUGCCACCGGUACGUACUGGUCUCACUGAUUCCUCCUUCCUGAAGAACCGUAAUGCCAUUAAUUUGGUGUUGCGGGGAAACAGGACUGUUACUUUGAAAAAAUUAGAGUGUUUAAAGCAAGCUAACGCUUGAAUACAUUAGCACGGAAUAGUGAAAUAGGACGAUCGAUCCUAUUUUGUUGGUUUCUAGGAUUGACGUA
rnacentral:rRNA from 1 species